rnacentral:rRNA from 1 species
CAGUAGCCGCGGUAAUACGGAGGGUGCAAGCGUUAAUCGGAAUUACUGGGCGUAAAGCGCACGCAGGCGGUCUGACAAGUCAGAUGUGAAAUCCCCGGGCUUAACCUGGGAACUGCAUUUGAAACUGUCAGGCUGGAGUCUUGUAGAGGGGGGUGGAAUUCCAGGUGUAGCGGUGAAAUGCGUAGAGAUCUGGAGGAAUACCGGUGGCGAAGGCGGCCCCCUGGACAAAGACUGACGCUCAGGUGCGAAAGCGUGGGGAGCAAACAGGAUUAGAUACCCGGGUAGUCCCUGUCUCUUAUAU